GGAAUUGACGGGGCCCGCACAAGCGGUGGAGCAUGCGGUUUAAUUCGACGCAACGCGGAGACCUUACCCGGCUUAACAUCACCCAUUAGGGAACCGUACCUUGGGGAAACUCAAGGGCAAGGUAGAUAGGUGCUGCAUGGCUGUCGUCAGCUCGUGUUGUGAGAUGUAGGGUUAAGUCCCGCAACGAGCGCAACCCUUGUCUUUAAUUGCCAUCAUUGAGUUGGGCACUUUAAAGAGACUGCCGGUGUUAAACCGGAGGAAGGUGGGGAUGACGUCAAGUCCUCAUGGCCUUUAUGCCCAGGGCUACACACGUGCUACAAUGGGUGGUACAAAGAGCAGCCAGCUCGCGAGAGUGAGCAAAUCUCAAAAAGCCAUCCUCAGUUCGGAUUGAAAUCUGCAACUCGACUUCAUGAAGUUGGAAUCGCUAGUAAUCGCGGAUCAGCAUGCCGCGGUCGAAUACGUUCCCGGGCCUU
rnacentral:rRNA from 1 species